UGGGGAAUCUUGCACAAUGGGGGAAACCCUGAUGCAGCGACGCCGCGUGAGUGAUGAAGUCCUUCGGGAUGUAAAGCUCUUUCGACAGGGACGAUUAUGACGGUACCUGGAGAAGAAGCUGCGGCUAACUACGUGCCAGCAGCCGCGGUAAUACGUAGGCAGCGAACGUUGUUCGGAGUUACUGGGCGUAAAGCGCGUGUAGGUGGUCGAGUAAGUCGAAUGUGAAAGCCCCGGGCUCAACCCGGGAAGUGCAUCCGAAACUGCUCGACUAGAGUCCCGGAGAGGAAGGCAGAAUUCCCAAUGUAGGGGUGAAAUCCGUAGAUAUUGGGAGGAAUACCGGUGGCGAAGGCGGCCUUCUGGACGGUGACUGACACUCAGACGCGAAAGCGUGGGGAGCAAACAGGAUUAGAUACCCCGGUAGUCCCUGAGCGGGCUGGCAAGGCGCAU
rnacentral:rRNA from 1 species